CGGUGUGAGUAGGUUACAUGCGGUGCAGUAUGGCAGUGGAAAAUGCUGCAUCCCGUGUGACCUCCUUACACAGU
rnacentral:pre_miRNA from 1 species